GACGAACGCUGUUUGCGUGCUUAACACAUGCAAGUCGAACGGAAAGGCCCUGCUUUUGUGGGGUGCUCGAGUGGCGAACGGGUGAGUAACACGUGAGUAACCUGCCCUUGACUUUGGGAUAACUUCAGGAAACUGGGGCUAAUACCGGAUAGGAGCUCCUGCUGCAUGGUGGGGGUUGGAAAGUUUCGGCGGUUGGGGAUGGACUCACGGCUUAUCAGCUUGUUGGUGGGGUAGUGGCUUACCAAGGCUUUGACGGGUAGCCGGCCUGAGAGGGUGACCGGCCACAUUGGGACUGAGAUACGGCCCAGACUCCUACGGGAGGCAGCAGUGGGGAAUAUUGCACAAUGGGCGGAAGCCUGAUGCAGCAACGCCGCGUGCGGGAUGACGGCCUUCGGGUUGUAAACCGCUUUCGCCUGUGACGAAGCGUGAGUGACGGUAAUGGGUAAAGAAGCACCGGCUAACUACGUGCCAGCAGCCGCGGUGAUACGUAGGGUGCGAGCGUUGUCCGGAUUUAUUGAGCGUAAAGGGCUCGUAGGUGGUUGAUCGCGUCGGAAGUGUAAUCUUGGGGCUUAACCCUGAGCGUGCUUUCGAUACGGGUUGACUUGAGGAAGGUAGGGGAGAAUGGAAUUCCUGGUGGAGCGGUGGAAUGCGCAGAUAUCAGGAGGAACACCAGUGGCGAAGGCGGUUCUCUGGGCCUUUCCUGACGCUGAGGAGCGAAAGCGUGGGGAGCGAACAGGCUUAGAUACCCUGGUAGUCCACGCUGUAAACGGUGGGUACUAGGUGUGGGGUCCAUUCCACGGGUUCCGUGCCGUAGCUAACGCUUUAAGUACCCCGCCUGGGGAGUACGGCCGCAAGGCUAAAACUCAAAGGAAUUGACGGGGCCCCGCACAAGCGGCGGAGCAUGCGGAUUAAUUCGAUGCAACGCGUGGAACCUUACCUGGGUUUGACAUGGAUCGGGAGUGCUCAGAGAUGGGUGUGCCUCUUUUGGGGUCGGUUCACAGGUGGUGCAUGGCUGUCGUCAGCUCGUGUCGUGAGAUGUUGGGUUAAGUCCCGCAACGAGCGCAACCCUUGUUCACUGUUGCCAGCACGUUAUGGUGGGGACUCAGUGGAGACCGCCGGGGUCAACUCGGAGGAAGGUGGGGAUGACGUCAAGUCAUCAUGCCCCUUAUGUCCAGGGCUUCACGCAUGCUACAAUGGCUGGUACAGAGAGUGGCGAGCCUGUGAGGGUGAGCGAAUCUCGGAAAGCCGGUCUCAGUUCGGAUUGGGGUCUGCAACUCGACCUCAUGAAGUCGGAGUCGCUAGUAAUCGCAGAUCAGCAACGCUGCGGUGAAUACGUUCCCGGGGCU
rnacentral:rRNA from 1 species